UGAACGCUGGCGGUAUGCUUAACACAUGCAAGUCGAACGGAAACGAUACUAGCUUGCUAGUAGGCGUCGAGUGGCGGACGGGUGAGUAACGCGUAGGAAUCUGCCUGAUAGUGGGGGAUAGCCCGAAGAAAUUCGGAUUAAUACCGCAUAAUCUAUUCGUAGUAAAGUGGGGGACUUUCGAGCCUCACGCUAUCAGAUGAGCCUGCGUAAGAUUAGCUUGUUGGUAGGGUAAAAGCCUACCAAGGCGACGAUCUUUAGCUGGUCUGAGAGGAUGAUCAGCCACAUCGGGACUGAGACACGGCCCGAACUCCUACGGGAGGCAGCAGUGGGGAAUAUUGGACAAUGGGGGCAACCCUGAUCCAGCAAUACCGCGUGUGUGAAGAAGGCCUGAGGGUUGUAAAGCACUUUCAAUUGUGAAGAAAAGUUAGCGGUUAAUAACCGUUAGCCUUGACGUUAACUUUAGAAGAAGCAUCGGCUAACUCCGUGCCAGCAGCCGCGGUAAUACGGAGGGUGCAAGCGUUAAUCGGAAUUACUGGGCGUAAAGCGCGCGUAGGCGGUUUAUUAAGUCAGAUGUGAAAGCCCCGGGCUUAACCUGGGAACUGCAUUUGAAACUGGUCAACUAGAGUAUGGUAGAGGAAAGUGGAAUUUCUGGUGUAGCGGUGAAAUGCGUAGAUAUCAGAAGGAACAUCAAUGGCGAAGGCAGCUUUCUGGACCAAUACUGACGCUGAGGUACGAAAGCGUGGGUAGCAAACAGGAUUAGAUACCCUGGUAGUCCACGCCGUAAACGAUGAUAACUAGCCGUUGGGGGGAUUUACCCUUUAGUGGCGAAGCUAACGCGUUAAGUUAUCCGCCUGGGGAGUACGGCCGCAAGGUUAAAACUCAAAGGAAUUGACGGGGACCCGCACAAGCGGUGGAGCAUGUGGUUUAAUUCGAUGCAACGCGAAGAACCUUACCUGGUCUUGACAUCCUGCGAACUUUCUAGAAAUAGAUUGGUGCCUUCGGGAACGCAGUGACAGGUGCUGCAUGGCUGUCGUCAGCUCGUGUCGUGAGAUGUUGGGUUAAGUCCCGUAACGAGCGCAACCCCUAUCCUUAUUUGCCAGCACAUCAUGGUGGGAACUAUAAGGAGACUGCCGGUGAUAAACCGGAGGAAGGCGGGGACGACGUCAAGUCAUCAUGGCCCUUACGACCAGGGCUACACACGUGCUACAAUGGGAAGGACAAAGAGCCGCGAAGCCGCGAGGUGUAGCUAAUCUCAUAAACCUUUUCGUAGUCCGGAUUGGAGUCUGCAACUCGACUCCAUGAAGUCGGAAUCGCUAGUAAUCGUAGAUCAGAAUGCUACGGUGAAUACGUUCCCGGGUCUUGUACACACCGCCCGUCA
rnacentral:rRNA from 1 species